GAUGAACGCUGGCGGCGUGCUUAACACAUGCAAGUCGAGCGAAGCACUUUGGUUUGAUUCUUCGGAUGAAGACCUUUGUGACUGAGCGGCGGACGGGUGAGUAACGCGUGGGUAACCUGCCUCAUACAGGGGGAUAACAGUUAGAAAUGACUGCUAAUACCGCAUAAGACCACGGUACCGCAUGGUACAGUGGUAAAAACUCCGGUGGUAUGAGAUGGACCCGCGUCUGAUUAGGUAGUUGGUGGGGUAACGGCCUACCAAGCCGACGAUCAGUAGCCGACCUGAGAGGGUGACCGGCCACAUUGGGACUGAGACACGGCCCAGACUCCUACGGGAGGCAGCAGUGGGGAAUAUUGCACAAUGGAGGAAACUCUGAUGCAGCGACGCCGCGUGAAGGAUGAAGUAUUUCGGUAUGUAAACUUCUAUCAGCAGGGAAGAAAAUGACGGUACCUGACUAAGAAGCCCCGGCUAACUAUGUGCCAGCCGCCGCAGUAA
rnacentral:rRNA from 1 species